ACUCGGCACACUAAACGUCAAGCUUGUCUUCGGCGCCGCCCACAUGGCCACACUAACCAAUGACCUCCUGACACGUCACAGACCCCAUCCUCCAGCCUGCUGCUGCCUCCGCCACGCGUCGCUGACCCGGAGCUGAAAGCACUGCGCGGCGCCGGAAUCUGGCGUCACUUCCACCACAGCGAUGGCGGCACAGGGAGCGUCUGCGGCGAUUGCGGCGGCAACUUCAGGGGUCGCGGGGGAGGGCGAGCCCGGGCCCGGGGAGAGUGCGGCGGUCGAGGGGACCGCCCCGUCCCCGGGCCGGGUCUCUCCGCCGACCCCGGCGCGCGGCGAGCCGGAAGUCACCGUGGAGAUCGGAGAAACGUACCUGUGCCGGCGUCCGGAUAGCACCUGGCAUUCUGCUGAAGUGAUCCAGUCUCGAGUGAAUGAUCAGGAGGGCCGAGAGGAAUUCUAUGUACACUACGUGGGCUUUAACCGGCGGCUAGACGAAUGGGUGGACAAGAACCGGCUGGCGCUGACCAAGACAGUGAAGGAUGCUGUGCAGAAGAACUCAGAGAAGUACCUGAGUGAGCUGGCUGAGCAGCCUGAGCGCAAGAUCACUCGCAACCAGAAGCGCAAGCAUGACGAAAUCAACCACGUGCAGAAGACCUAUGCAGAGAUGGACCCCACGACAGCAGCCUUGGAGAAGGAGCAUGAGGCGAUCACCAAGGUGAAGUACGUGGACAAGAUCCACAUCGGGAACUACGAAAUCGAUGCCUGGUACUUCUCGCCAUUCCCCGAAGACUAUGGGAAGCAGCCCAAGCUCUGGCUCUGCGAGUACUGCCUCAAGUACAUGAAAUACGAGAAGAGCUACCGCUUCCACUUGGGCCAGUGUCAGUGGCGGCAGCCCCCAGGGAAGGAAAUCUAUCGCAAGAGCAACAUCUCUGUGUAUGAGGUAGACGGCAAGGACCACAAGAUUUACUGCCAGAACCUGUGUCUGCUGGCCAAGCUCUUCCUGGACCACAAGACAUUGUACUUUGACGUGGAGCCCUUCGUCUUUUACAUCUUGACUGAGGUGGACAGGCAGGGGGCCCACAUCGUCGGCUACUUCUCUAAGGAGAAGGAGUCUCCAGAUGGGAACAAUGUGGCCUGCAUCCUGACCCUGCCUCCCUACCAGCGCCGUGGAUACGGAAAGUUCCUCAUUGCUUUCAGUUAUGAGCUAUCCAAGCUCGAGAGCACGGUAGGCUCACCUGAGAAGCCGCUGUCUGACCUGGGCAAGCUCAGCUACCGCAGCUACUGGUCUUGGGUCCUGCUGGAGAUCCUGCGAGACUUCCGGGGCACACUGUCCAUCAAGGACCUUAGCCAGAUGACCAGCAUCACCCAGAAUGACAUCAUCAGCACCCUACAGUCCCUCAACAUGGUCAAGUACUGGAAGGGCCAGCACGUGAUCUGUGUCACACCCAAGCUGGUAGAGGAACACCUCAAAAGUGCCCAGUAUAAGAAACCACCCAUCACAGUGGACUCUGUCUGCCUCAAGUGGGCACCCCCCAAGCACAAGCAAGUCAAACUCUCCAAGAAGUGAGUGGCCUCUGCCCCUGCUGCUGGACCAUGCCUCUUUGCCCCCUAGCCUGUAAAUAUGUACAGACCUGUUUCAUCAUUUUUUUAAUAAAUUGGUACCUUGGGAAGCAGUGAGCAGCCGACAGCACCCACUCCUCAGACACAAGAGAACCGCCACACACAUGGGUGCCGUCAUAGGUGA